rfam:Triticum aestivum genome assembly, contig: Triticum_aestivum_CS42_TGACv1_scaffold_000473_1AL
AAGCUACUUCCUCCGUUCGGAAUUAUUUGUCGCAGAAAUAAAUGUAUCUAGAUAUAUUUUAGUUCUAGAUACAUUCAUAUUCAAGACAAAUAAUUCCGAAUGAAGGGAGUACUUG